GAGUUCAAGAAGGACGUGAACCGUUCAGGGGUAAACCUGAGAAACCCGAAAGGUCGAAAGGGGAAAUUCAUUCGCGUUUCGGCCGUUGGCGAUGAGCAGUUGUGUGACGGAUGGCGUUCGCGCGUCGUCCGCUCCUUUUGUUUUUCGAACUGACGUCGAACGCGUGCACUUUUCCCCUAGUAGGACGUCGCGAUCCGUUGGGUGUCGGUCUAAGGUCCGCGGUGGAGCCCACGUGGACGUUUCGGCGUUCCGCGUGAACCCGUGGUGUCCCGGCCGACUCGCUCGACGGUAUAAUGAUGGCGCGAGGCCGCUACACUUCUAGUGAGCGUUCGGCUCGUGGCAAGCCCGUUCGGUGUUUGACGGCGAUCGGACCUGGUGCCGGUCCUGUCCCCGAGCGACUGUUGGCUGCGAUGUUCUCGAACAGACCUCGUUGAAACGCCGAUCUGCGACGCUAUAGUUUGGGUACUUUCAGGACCCGUCUUGAA
rnacentral:rRNA from 1 species